rnacentral:rRNA from 1 species
GGACUACAGGGGUUUCUAAUCCUGUUUGCUCCCCACGCUUUCGAGCCUCAGUGUCAGUUACAGGCCAGAGAGCCGCUUUCGCCUCCGGUGUUCCUCCAUAUAUCUACGCAUUUCACCGCUACACAUGGAAUUCCACUCUCCUCUCCUGCACUCAAGUCUCCCAGUUUCCAAUGCCUACAAUGGUUGAGCCACUGCCUUUUACAUCAGACUUAAGAAACCACCUGCGCUCGCUUUACGCCCAAUAAAUCCGGACAACGCUUGGGACCUACGUAUUACCGCGGCUGCUGGCAC